AUUUAGAGAAAGGGAAUAUGAAUGAUAUUUCAUAACUAAAAUUAAUUUUUAAAUGGUGACAUUUUUUUAAACUUAUUUCCAUCAAUUAAAUACUGUUUAAUAGGGAUUUCUUUCCUAUAUAACUUUUUAAUUAAAACUUAAGAAACAGGUUAACUGGAGAAUAAAGUUUUAAUUUAGUAAAAUUAUAAUUUCGAUUAUAAUAACGGCUAUUUAAAUGAUCCAUGAAACGAUAAGUUUAUUUUUUCAAAAAUUAAUUUAAUCGUACCGAUAACCGCAUCAGGUCUCCAAGGUGAGUAGCUUCUGGCCAUUGAGUAAUGGUAAUUUAGGGAAUUCGGCCAAUUAGAGCUGUAACUUCGGGAUAAAGCUUGGCUCUGAUGGAAAUCAGAACCGAUAGUUACAAGGAGAGCCCAACUGUUUAAUAAAAACUUAGUGUCGCGUCAUACCUUUAUAAGUAAUAAACGUGACAUGAAUCCUGCUCAGUGCUGUGUUUGUUAAACUGGAUUAAUCCAUUUAAGCGCCGGUAAAUAGCUGGGGUAACUAUGACUCUUAUCAAAGUAGCGAAAUACCUCGUCACUUAAUUAGUGACCUGCAUGAACGGAGCUAUGAGGUUCUCACUGUCCCAAAUUAUCACUCAGCGAACCAACAGUUGUGGGAACGGGCACAAAUUAUCCAGCGGGGAAAGAAGACCCUGUAGAGCUUCACUUUGGUCUAAUCUUGUAUAGUUUCGUUAGGGGUGCAGUCUAGGUGGGAGAUUUUUAAUCAAAUAUGAGAAACCACUACCCUUUCUGGAAUUAUACUUACUAAAAUUCUUUUCUAAAUUUUAGGAUCGGAUUAGAUAGAAAGUUUGGCUGGGGCGGCACACCUUCGAAAAAGCAGCGAAGGUGUCCUAAGUUAAGCUCAGUAAGGACAGAAAUCUUACGUUGAGGAUAAGGCCAAAAGCUUAAUUUACUGUGCCUUUUUGUACUAGGAUCAGUUUGGAAACAAAGGCCUAACGAUCCCUAAUUAGUCUUAGGUGUGUAAGACUUGGGGUGACAGACAAGUUACCUCCGGGACAACUGGCUUGUGGCUGCUAAGAGAUCAAAUCAACGCAGCUUUUUGAUUCUUCGAUGUCGGCUCUUCCUAUCCUAGUGAUGUACAAGUCACUAAGGGUUGGAUUGUUCACCCGUAUUAGGGAUCGUGAGCUGGGUUUAGACCGUCGUGAGCCAGGUUUGUUUUAUCCUACUGGAUAUAAUUUAGCAUCUUGAUAGUAGUUUGAUUUAGUACGAGAGGAACUGUUGAAUAUGGUCUCUGGUUUGGGAAUUUUAUGAAAAUAAAAGUUCCAAAGCUACGCCGUCUGAGAUAAUGGCUGAAGGCCUCUUAAGCCAGAAACUCAUCUAAAAAU
rnacentral:rRNA from 1 species